GCCUACGGGAGGCAGCAGUGAGGAAUAUUGCACAAUGGGGGAAACCCUGAUGCAGCGACGCCGCGUGAGCGAGGAAGGUCUUCGGAUCGUAAAGUUCUGUUGACGGGGAAAAAAGACCGGGAAAGGAAAUGAUCCCGGAGGAGAUAUUACCCGUCGAGGAAGUCACGGCUAACUACGUGCCAGCAGCCGCGGUAAUACGUAGGUGGCGAGCGUUAUCCGGAAUGAUUGGGCGUAAAGGGUGCGUAGGCGGUCGAUUAAGUCUGGAGUGAAAGGUACCGGCUCAACCGGUAUAGGCUCCGGAAACU
rnacentral:rRNA from 1 species